AGUGAACGCUGGCGGUAGGCCUAACACAUGCAAGUCGAACGGCAGCACAGUAAGAGCUUGCUCUUACGGGUGGCGAGUGGCGGACGGGUGAGGAAUACAUCGGAAUCUACUUUUUCGUGGGGGAUAACGUAGGGAAACUUACGUUAAUACCGCAUACGACCUACGGGUGAAAGCAGGGGAUCUUCGGACCUUGCGCGAUUGAAUGAGCCGAUGUCGGAUUAGCUAGUUGGCGGGGUAAAGGCCCACCAAGGCGACGAUCCGUAGCUGGUCUGAGAGGAUGAUCAGCCACACUGGAACUGAGACACGGUCCAGACUCCUACGGGAGGCAGCAGUGGGGAAUAUUGGACAAUGGGCGCAAGCCUGAUCCAGCCAUACCGCGUGGGUGAAGAAGGCCUUCGGGUUGUAAAGCCCUUUUGUUGGGAAAGAAAAGCAGCAGGUUAAUACCCCGCUGUUCUGACGGUGCCCAAAGAAUAAGCACCGGCUAACUUCGUG
rnacentral:rRNA from 1 species